AAAGAACAAAAUUGUCGGUUGAGAAGACAGAAGCCACACAGCACCUGAAAUUCAGUCAUUAAAAUUAAUUCCUCUGGGCUUUGACAGCACUUCAGCAGUAGAAGAAAUAAAAUGCAAGAGCAGAAAGUAUCUUUGAGAUCAUUUAAUUCAACUCUUAUUCUGUAGAUGAAAAAACUAAGGCUCAAAGCCAUUCUCCAAGUCACAAAGCUAAUAGACAGCAGAAGAGGAUCUGAAACCAGAAAUUGAAAGGCAAACACAAGGAGCAGCAUUUCCAGGGGAGAGUUGUUAGACAAGGAAGAAAGAAACAUCGCUGGCCUGUUCCAACCUGCGGAGAACCCCAGCAGGUACAAGGGCAAGCAAGCAGAUCCUCCACAGAAGAGUUUGUACAACACAACACCAUAUUCUCCUAUGUGGAACCAAUGGCUCCUUCCAGGAUUCAGGUGUUUUGCUGAGUGAAGAGAGUUUCUCUUAUUCCACAAUAACAGUGUUAACUAUUGACCCAUGACCUGCCAUGCAGACCUAGCAGACUGCUCCAGCAGCUGAAGAAUUCUUCCUUGGAAAUGUACAAGCAACCUUAUGUAAAGACUGCAUCUUUUUCUUCACUUUGUGUGUGUGUGUGUGUGUGUGUGUGUGCCUGU